GUGCCACUUUGGCAGCACAUAUACUAAGAUUGAAAUGAUACAGAGAUUAACGUGGUCCCUGCGCAAGGAUUACGGGCAAAUUCAUGAAGUGUUCCCUAUUUAA